rnacentral:rRNA from 1 species
AACGAACGCUGGCGGCAUGCCUAACACAUGCAAGUCGAACGAGACCUUCGGGUCUAGUGGCGCACGGGUGCGUAACGCGUGGGAACCUGCCCUUAGGUUCGGAAUAACUCCCCGAAAGGGGUGCUAAUACCGGAUAAUGUCUUCGGACCAAAGAUUUAUCGCCUUUGGAUGGGCCCGCGUUGGAUUAGCUAGUUGGUAGGGUAAAAGCCUACCAAGGCGACGAUCCAUAGCUGGUCUGAGAGGAUGAUCAGCCACACUGGGACUGAGACACGGCCCAGACUCAGAGGGGGGGAAGAGGGGGGGAAUAGGGAAAAGGGGGAAAAGGCGGAACAAAAAAAUGCGGGGGGAGGGAGAAGGCAGUGGGGGUUGAAAAGUUUUUUGCCAGGGGAGAAAAAGAAAAGGACGGGGAAAAAAAGACCGGAAAACCCCGGGC